rnacentral:lncRNA from 1 species
AUGUUUCCCAACCAGUUUAUUCUAUUUGAUUCUGUGAAUGCCGGCAAGCCUGCAGCGAGGGCAGAGCUCGGAGAACUGCCUCCUCAUCUUGGCCAAACAAACACUGCUUCCAUGUUUGACUUAUGGCUGAGUCAAUUCAUCUCCCUUCGCAGCAUCCCCAGCAGUUUACACUGGAAACUGGAAGAGGCCAGUGUGUUACCACAGGGCCCUAGCUUAGAAACACAGAUGGUGGAUGAUGAAACUGAGACUACAGGUGAAGAAUUGCCUCCUCAUCUGCGGGAAGAGCCUCCUGAAGGGUACAGCCAGAUUGUUGGAAUGUGUUUUACAGUAGUUUGACCAAAGGAGAAAACUUACGAUCUGCAUGAAUUGGAUAGGUAAGUUUUUGUUUUAGUUUCUGCCCUAUUCCCCUCUCUCUGUAUUCUUCUGGUUUAGUUCUGGCAGACAUAAAAAUGGAAAAAUAUGAUUUAGAUUUGAUCUUGGGAUGUCAUAUGAGUUGUCUCUAUCUUCUCAAAGUGUACGUCCUCAUGAUACGUCUUAGCCUCCAUGAUUUCCUCAGUCUGUUGUUGAUACUCACUAGCCUCUGGACAGUAGUUGUCCUAUUCCUUGUUUGAAUGCUCUUCAACAAUAUUUUCCUGUAACCAAUUGGUCACUGAAUGUCUGUCUAGCUGUUUCCUAGUCUAAUUAUCUACUCAGCAACCAAGUGUUUGGCAUGGGUAUUUGAAGAACUAUGGGAGGCCUGGGUAUACAGAAGUCUUGGCAGAUGCUUGAGGCAAUCAUCUUGCUUGUCUAACCCAAAAUCUUCCAUCUGGGAGAUGGAGAUGUAUUACAGCAUGAAACAAACCAUUUUCCAAAGUGUUUAAAUCUAUAAAGAAGGAAAUGGAAAAUUUAGAUUUCUGCAGUCUUUGACUAAGCCUCUUGUGUCUACCUGUUAAGACAAAUCUUUGCUAUGCAGCAACACAACUGCGUUUCUGUGCAAAAAUGACAGCAUUUAUAUAUUUGUGUUUAAUAAUACAGAAAUGAGUGAAGGUCUUUAGUUCCCUGCAGAGACAGGAGUUGAAACCUGUGAAGUCUACACAAAUGAAUCAAGAAUUUGAAGAUUGACUUACUUUGCGAAUUACAAUAGGCCCCUGUUUGCUAUUGCAUAUUAAUAGGAAGAUGAAGGAGGAAUGUGAUAAAGACACAGCAUGUGUGAAAGCAGAUAUUCCAUUAACCUGAGAUCCUGUGGCUUCUGAUGCUUGAGCAUCACUCAGGAUGCAUCUGCUCUCAAGACGUAGUUACUUCAUGGCACAACUUUAUGUACAUUGACUAAGGGAUCCAACGGUGACUUUCCAGGUCU